rnacentral:rRNA from 18 species
CCCUAUCGAGCUUUACUGGAUACCGAUAGCGUUAAUUUAGAAUGAUCGAUACUAAGUAUCCUAAUUCUAAGUUAAUAAUUUUUGUUGGUAGGACAGUUUAGUUGGGGCGACUACCUUUGAAUAAGAAACGAAGGCGAGCUUAUGGUAUUAUUUAAAAUCUCAUUAGCCUCACAGUGAGGGGGACACCCCUAGCUGGCACACCGUAAGGGAUGUGGGCGAUAGUGACCCGAUAUGAUUAUCCAAAAUAAAUAUCGAAAGCGGAUAAAAGCUACCGUAGGG